CCCUGGUACCGGCUUUUAUCAAAGAUAGACCAGAUCUUUGAUAGACCAGGGUGCAUUUAUUUUCUCUUCUUUUCCCUUUUACCCAAUAAUAAGCUUUUUUCAUCCAAGAUGGGGGGGGGGGGGGGGGUGGAAAUAGGCAGGGAGCAGGGAGGAGGGCUGACAUAUACAGCCCAUGGAGAGCUUUGAGAGGAACGCGAUUCCCAAAGCUGUAAUUACUGCCUGCGUUUUUUUGGCUACAGAUCUGCUGCUAAAUUGGUUGGAAGGCACGGAAAUGGCAGUUACACCUUUCAGCAGGAAAAAAAUGUGCUUUGGUGGAGAAACGUGCCAUGGGAAACCCUCCCCAAAUCUGCAAUCCCAUCUAGCACCCCAGCCUUACAGAGCCCUCCAGGAACUGGAAAAUCCAGAUUUGCUGCAUCUCCCAGGGAGACGAUUUCCUACGUGCCCCCCCAGCACAAGGGUCCUACUGAAGGUUAAACUUGUGAGUGCCCCUGGUUUUGCACUGAUUUAAUCUUCCCCCCCCUAAAUAAAAGACAUGGGAAAUGCUGGUGAAAACUGCACCCAUGCUGCUGACUGGUCCCUGGCUCAGUCCUGUCCCAGAGCCAGGUGUUAAACGCUCGUCCCCACAUCAUGCCCUGGCCUGCUGCAGCUUCCCCGCCUGAAAGCAAGCCUCAUUGGAACGGCAUCUGAAUCCGUGUCACAUCGCAAAGCCUGCAUCAGCGCUCAGUCUUGCUUCCUCCUACCUGCCAGCAAGGUGCAAUCGAUAAAUCCUCUCUCAGUGGU